rnacentral:rRNA from 1 species
UGGUGAGCGAUUACGGAUUGGGCCUUUGAUUAACUUUUUAACAAAUAAGAAAAGCAAAUUUGUAAUUUUAAUUUUUUAGAAUUUAUUUGCUGCCAUAGUGGGUUUUUAGUCCCGUAUUUACGUUUAAGUUAAUUAAUUGAGUAGGGUGGGUUAUGUUUAUCCUGCCUGAAUAUAGUAGAACCACCUACUAAGCCUAAUUAAUACAGAUGACCGAUAGUGUACAAGUACCGUGAGGGAAUGGUGAAAAAGAUACCCUUUUGGGUUUGUUGAAAAGAAACUGAACCCCAUAACUUACAUAGCUGUUGGAGCUUUUUUGAAAGUGACAGCGUACCUUUUGCAUAAUGGGUCAGCGAGUUAGUUUAUUUAGCAAGCUUAAGUUUAUUUUUUAAAUGUAGGCGUAGUGAAGGCAAGUUGUAAAAUACGACUAGUUAAAUAAAUUAGACCCGAAACCAAGUGAUCUAGUUAUGAGCAGGUUGAUGGUGGUUUUAAUAACUGUCGGAGGACCGAACCCGUAUUUGUUGAAAAAAAUUGGGAUGACUUGUAAUUAGGGGUGAAAGGCUAAUCAAACUUGGAGAUAGCUGGUUUUCCGCGAAAUCUAUUGAAGUAGAGCGUUGUUAUGAGUAUAUUGUUGGGGGUAGAGUACGAGAUUAGCUAGGGGGUCGUCGUUGAUUUACUGAAUUUAUCACAACUCCGAAUACCAAUUAAUUAUUUUUUCAGCAGUCAGACUGCGAGUGUGAAGAUUCGUGGUCGAGAGGGAAACAGCCCAGAUUUUAAGCUAAGGUCCUUAAAUUUUAGUUAAGUGUGAGUUGAGAAUAUAUGUUGUUUUUAUAUUAGGAGGUUGACUUAGAGGCAGUCAUCUUUUAAAGAAAGCGUAAAAGCUCACUAAUUUUUAUAUAUAACUACAUGUAUUCGCAAAUGAAUAGGGACUUUCAACUAAAUACCGAAGCUAAAGGUGUUUUAACAAUUUUAAAACACGGUAGCGGAAUGUUCUGUAGACUUUUGAAGGGUUGAUGUAAAUCAAUUUGGAGGUAACAGAAGUAAGAAUGCUGGCAUGAGUAGCGACAAAUAAUGUAACGUGAUUUGUGGUAACAUUAAUUGCGUUAGAUAAACAUUAUCGCCGAAAAACUAAGGGUUUCUUUGUUAGGUUAGUCCGCGAAGAGUUAGUCGGUCCCUAAGAGAGUAGUGGAAACUGCGGUCGAUGGGUUUAUAAGCUAAUAUUCUUAUAUCUACUACACUAUUUAUAAAUACGCUACAAAAAUCUUUUAAAAGAAUUUUAAAAGCCUCUUUGUAGUAGUAUUGGUUUUUUUAAAAUGACCUGCUAAACAAUUUAUUAUUCUUUAGACGAUUAAAUUUAAUUUUGAGUUUAGCUGCUAGAAAUAGUUUUAAAUAAAACUCAUAUAAAUGCUGGCUUAAGUUAAUUGUAAAAUUUUAAUUUAAGUGUAGACCGUACUAUAAACUGACACAAGUGGUUGGGUAGAGAAUACUAAGGCGCUUGGGAGAACAAUAUUGAAGGAACUCGGCAAAAUUACUCUGUAACUUCGGGAGAAAGAGUGUCUUAGGGGGGCUAUAAAUUAUAGAAAUUAGUUUUUCUAUAAUUUAAUUGUUUGGGCUAAUUUUUUUAAAUUUGCUCUUUUUUGAAAGCUUUUUUAAGGUGGCAGAGAAAUGGCCCAGGCGACUGUUUAGCAAAAACACAUGGCUAUGCGAAGAUUAAUGUCGACGUAUAUGGCCUGAUACCUGCCCGGUGCUGGAAGGUUAAGAGGGGAUGUCAUCGCAAGAGAAGCAUUGAAUCGAAGCCCCAGUAAACGGCGGCCGUAAUUAUAACGGUCCUAAGGUAGCGAAAUUCCUUGUCGGGUAAGUUCCGACCUGCACGAAUGGCGUAACGAUGGCCACACUGUCUCCUCCCGAGACUCAGCGAAGUUGAAAUGUUUGUGAUGAUGCAAUCUCCCCGCGGAAAGACGGAAAGACCCCAUGAACCUUUACUGUAGCUUU